rnacentral:rRNA from 1 species
CGUAGGGGGCAAGCGUUAUCCGGAUUUACUGGGUGUAAAGGGAGCGUAGACGGCAAGGCAAGUCUGGAGUGAAAGCCCGGGGCCCAACCCCGGGACUGCUCUGGAAACUGUGGUGCUAGAGUGCAGGAGGGGUGGGCGGAAUUCCUAGUGUAGCGGUGAAAUGCGUAGAUAUUAGGAGGAACACCAGCGGCGAAGGCGGCCCACUGGACUGCGACUGACGUUGAGGCUCGAAGGCGUGGGGAGCAAA